rnacentral:rRNA from 1 species
AUUAAACGCUGGCGGCAUGCCUUACACAUGCAAGUCGAACGGCAGCACGGGGGCAACCUUGGUGGCGAGUGGCGAACGGGUGAGUAAAGCAUCGGAACGUGCCCUGGAGUGGGGGGAUAACGUAGCGAAAGUUGCGCUAAUACCGCAUAUUCUGUGAGCAGGAAAGCAGGGGACCGCAAGGCCUUGCGCUCUUUGAGCGGCCGAUGUCAGAUUAGCUAGUUGGUGAGGUAACGGCUUACCAAGGCGACGAUCUGUAGCGGGUCUGAGAGGAUGAUCCGCCACACUGGAACUGAGACACGGUCCAGACUCCUACGGGAGGCAGCAGUGGGGAAUUUUGGACAAUGGGCGCAAGCCUGAUCCAGCCAUGCCGCGUGAGUGAAGAAGGCC